CAGCCGCCACGGUAAAACGGAGGGGGCUAGCGUUGUUCGGAAUUACUGGGCGUAAAGCGCACGUAGGCGGCUUGGUAAGUUAGAGGUGAAAGCCCGGAGCUCAACUCCGGAAUUGCCUUUAAGACUGCCGAGCUAGUAGGUGAGAGAGGUAAGUGGAAUUCCGAGUGUAGAGGUGAAAUUCGUAGAUAUUCGGAAGAACACCAGUGGCGAAGGCGGCAUACUGACUCAUUCUAGACGCUGAGGUGCGAAAGCGUGGGGAGCAAACAGGAUUAGAUACCCCCGUAGUCCCUGUCUCUUAUAC
rnacentral:rRNA from 1 species